rnacentral:lncRNA from 1 species
CACUACAGCAAGAAAGCAAGCCAUUUCAGGCCACAGAGGGGAGACACAUGGGGACGGGCUCCACAGAUGUCCCACCCUCAGGCAGCACAGUUCCGUCUCAUACCUACCCACAUCUGGGCCAAUGUGCCUCCCAAACUCAUCUUUGCCCCUGUUCUGUCCCUGUUGAGCCAUCGAGUGUUGUGUGGCUUUUCCUGGGUUACCUUUUUCCAUUUACUACCAGUGGGGCAACAGCAGCCCAAGGAAGUGUUUCUACUCAAAUCCAAGCUGCAAGAGCCAAAGAUUUAAUUAGAGAAACGUGCCCAAGCGUGGGCAGCUUCCUGGCAGCUAGUCACCAGAGAAGAGACUCCCCAGCAACUGUUAACUAUGUCCUCAGGGAGAGAAGGGGUCUCCAGAGCCUCAGGAACUCAUGGGCUUCCUGUGCCCUUGAGCUCGGAGAGCCUCGUAACCCUGUUUCCUCCUAUGAAGAAGUGUUCAUGGGCCCACUCCUGGAAGGAAGGGCCCAGUGCUCACAGAUGCUCUGACCUGAACACGGCAACAGCUGCAUCAUGACAGAGGACAGAGUGCCACCGCAUGCCAGAGUGACCCCGUGUCUGGAGAAGAAUGCAGACGUGAGGGUUUCUCUGUGUAGCGCUUGCUGUCCUGGAACAUGACCUGUAUCCGCCAGCGGCCACGGGUUCCUGGGUUCCUGAAAGGAAAGCUGGAGGUGGAUGGGAAGGACGGCGAGAGAAACAACGAGCCAAGACCAAGUUCUCUGAUCAAGGCUCAAUGUUUAAUGUACAGCUCUCAAUAAAUGUGUGAAAACCCAAG